rnacentral:rRNA from 1 species
ACCUGUAUGAAUGGCAUAACGAGGGCUUAGCUGUCUCCUCUUUCAAGUCAAUGAAAUUGAUCUCCCCGUGCAGAAGCGGGGAUACCCCCAUAAGACGAGAAGACCCUAUGGAGCUUUAGACACCAAGGCAGAACAUGUUAAGUACCCCUAAACAAGGGCCGAACCGAAUGAACCCUGCCCCAAUGUCUUUGGUUGGGGCGACCGCGGGGAAACACAAAACCCCCACGUGGAAUGAGAGCACCCCUCUCACAAUCAAGAGCUCCUGCUCUAACAAACAGAACAUCUGACCAGCUAGAUCCGGCAAAGCCGAUCAACGGACCGAGUUACCCUAGGGAUAACAGCGCAAUCCUCUUUUAGAGACCAUAUCGACAAGAGGGUUUACGACCUCGAUGUUGGAUCAGGACAUCCUAAUGGUCCAGCCGCUAA